rnacentral:rRNA from 1 species
GAUGAACGCUGGCGGCGUGCCUAAUACAUGCAAGUCGAGCGGUAAGGCUCUGCACAGGUUAUUUGAUCGAGAGUUUAGUCUCCUAACGGUACUUCUAGGCUAGAAGUCCCAACAGAUCGAAUAAUGUGUGUAGAGUACACGAGCGGCGGACGGCUGAGUAACGCGUAGGAACGUACCCCAAAGUGAGGGAUAAGCACCAGAAAUGGUGUCUAAUACCGCAUGGGUCUUCGGAUUAAAGCUUUAUGCGCUUUGGGAACGGCCUGCGUCUGAUUAGUUUGUUGGUGAGGUAAUGGCUCACCAAGACUACGAUCGGUAGCUGGUCUGAGAGGAUGAUCAGCCAGACUGGAACUGAGACACGGUCCAGACUCCUACGGGAGGC